CAUGUGGGAAAAGAUCAUUUUUUUUGUGUAAUUAUAAGUAUAGAUAAAUGUGGCUUUUGGGGAGUGACCUUGUUAAAUUAUAAUAGUGACUAAUUAAUCAAAUGAGUAGCUAGUGAAGUGGUAGGAGUCCACGUGUUUUAUUUAAAAUGGGCUGCAAGCUUGCAAAUAUAUAUACAUACACGUUUGUGUCUUGGUGUCAAAUGGAUAAUGACUAUUAAAAGAGUUGGCCAACCAUGGUGCACGUGUAAAAGGAAAAAGUAGUGAUGACUUUGUGUCAUUUUUUUUAAUAUACAUAAUGGAAGGGAGGGGUCCUUUGGAUUUUCAUUACAAAUGAAACCAUUUAUUUCUUGAAGAAAAACAAGGCCAACAGCAGCAACGGACAAGCAACCAUGGACGUGCUUGUUGCUGCCAAGGAAAAACUUGCCCCUUAUAAAUUAAUUAGUAGUUCAUUAAGAGAUCAAGAAUUUUAAGAGGUCAAGCUUGCUAGUAAGGUUUUUCUUCCAGUUGUUGAGACCUGCGAGCUCGAGAAGUAGACGUUGGACAUUAGAUAGAGUUCAAGGUAAACAGAGAGGUGAGCUUGAUCCAGAUUCUUAGUAGCUGUCAGCUGAUUGAGAGCACUCCAUUGUUCGGAGGUGCUUAUGUUUAUUCUUUUGGUUCCUUUAUGUAUUUCGCGCACGACGGAGUCCUGUUCCGUCUAUAUGUAUAAUAUGUCAGUAGAGGCUCGUAGACACGCAGUGCGGGUUAGAUGGUCUCACAAGAUUACUAUAUUAUAUUUGUAUAUGUUAUUUUGAUGGCCUAAUGGGCACAUGCAUAUAAAAUCAUUUGUGUUGUCAAAUGAAAAAUGGUUGUCUUAUGAUUAUGAGGUUAUGAAUGAUAAAGAAAUGU